ensembl:lncRNA
AGGUCAUUUGAUGUCUUUUACAGCUUAAAAAGUUUGGUUUAUGAAACUGAGGUACAUAAACAUAAAAGGACCAUGAAAUCAUAGAUGUAAAACUAUCCAUGCUUUCUUCUGGGCCUCAGUUUUCUACUCCAUAAAAUCUUGACAAUAAAAUUGAUGUUACUUACUUCCUGGAAUUGUUGUGAAGAAAGCAAUUUAUAAAAUGUAUGUCAUUUUUGAAGUGUGAAUUCCAGUUAUUAUUAUCAUAUUUAAAGACUUCAGAGGCCACCUGAUUCAAUAUACACACACAUUUUACAGAUGAAGAAACAGAUCAAGAGAAAUUUAAUGAUAUGGAACAUAAAACAAGUAGCAGAGGCAGAUUUGAACCCAAUUUUCUGACUCCUGAGUAAUAUGUCUUCUCCCACACCACAAUACCUCCCCUCAGUGUAUUUUCGGUUCCAGAAAUGGGACUUGCACACAGUUACAAUUUAAUGUUUAGAGCUUUGCAACCCUUUAAAAAAAACUACAUACACACACAUUUAUGUGUAUAUGUAAUAUGUAUAUCCGCCAGCAACUAUUAUUAAUGAUAACAAUAAUAACCUGUGCAAUGACGUCUAGUAAUAUAUAAAGUCUUUGAGAGUAGAUACUAUAUAUUUUUUUUUUCGCUGAAGCAAUUGGGGUUAAGUGACUUGCCCAGGGUCACAGUUAGGAAGUGUUAGGUGUCUGAGACCAGAUUUGAACUCAGGUAUUCCUGACUUCAGGGCUGGUGCUCUAUCCACCACACCAUCUAGCUGCCCCUUAGAUAUUAUUAUUUUCAUCUUUAUAACCUCAGCAUCCAGCAUAAUUCUUGAUAAAUAGUAGAAGUUUAAUAAAUGUUUGCCUAACUGACAGAAUGAUUUUUUUGGACAGAUUUGUGAUUUCAUUGGUGCAGUGAACCCCUCUUGAAAAUACUCCUUCUAUCAAAUCAUCACUUGUUCUGCAACUGGUAAAUAUUAAGUGUCCACAAGGUGCCAGACAAAAUGGUCAAAAUCAGAGGUUAAACCCAGAAUUUCCUAUCUUGAGAUUAGCUCUUUACAUCCCCAUCUCAAUUAUUAUGAUUGUAUUCUUUUCAUCUUUUUAUUGGACUCACAGAAAAUAGUUUUUAGACAAUAAUGUACUAUUAUUCUUUUCUAUUUAAUAUUCUAUAAACUAUUUCAUAGAGGGAGAAAAUAAUUACUUUGUAGCUUAAUAAAAUUAUUAGGAUAUAAGCUCAUCUUCUAUAAGGUCAUCAAAAGCAUCCUCAACUUAAUUCAACUAUCAGGAUAAAAGGAGAUCUUAGAGACAACUUAAUCCAGUGCUCCCCCUUCAUUUUAUGCCUGAGGAAACUGAGACCCAAAGAAAUUAUCUUAUUCCCACAGGAUUCUGACCUUUUCCACAAGGUCUCUAUAUUCUGAAAGGUUUUCAGACCAAGUAGUUUGAAGAUAAUGAAUAUUUGGUAUGAUGACAUCUAUUAAGAAUGGAAACAAAAAUUCAUCUUUUUAGUAUCAACAUCCUACCAAUGUUACUGUAUGGUAGUGAAAUAUGGAAUGUAUUAGUCUCUGAAGUAUUAAAAAUUGUGUGGCAGAUAAUAGAGAGAUGUACAGUGUGUAUAUGAUCAGGCUGCCACAUAGAACCAAUGAGGGACUUCAAAGAAUGGGAAUAAAAGAUUUUCUUCAGGGAAAUUUAUGAUACAAAGAUAAGAUGGGUGGGUCACAUAUCAAGGAAAAAGAUGACAAGUAGACAGCUACAGUGUUCCACUGUCAUCAUAGAGUAUUAAGAGAUGGAAAACUCACGAAAGAACACUAGCAAGAAGUGCUCAAGUAGGAUGGUCAGGUCUUGUAUUGCUUCCAAUGUGUAUCAUCAGGGGGAACUUUCAUACUAUUGAGAUCACAGGUCUUUUUCAGUAAGUGAAUUUCACAGGUCCAUUUUAGUAAUUCUAAUAUUUAUCAAAAGUAUUAUUUGUUUAAAAAAUUAAAAUUAAAUUAAAAUUAAUUUUAAAAUUAAAAAAUAUUAUUUUUUAAAAGAAAUAUAGCUAGGUGAUGCAGUAGAUAGAGUACUGGACUUGAAGUCAGGAAGACCCUACUUAGUAUAUGAUCUUGGGUAUAUUACUUAAUAGCCAUCUAAUAACAGAAUCUGCCUCAUAGGAGUGUUGUGACACUAUCUUAAAACUGUCACAUAAAUGCAAAUGACAUAGUCCCAAGCGUCUUUUUUAGCAAGCCUUGAAGCAAUCAAAAUCAAAAACAGAAAAAAGUUUUAGGGAUUUAUCUAGCUAACUAAUUAAGGAGGGAGGGGUAAACCAGCCCAGAUCAGAAAUGGAUCAAAUUAAAGAUUCCAUGCUAAUCAGCAGUGAUCAUCUGCUCCAUUUCUAACCCAGUCUGAAGGGGAAAAAAUAUUUCCUCUAACUCUUUAAAAGCAAGUUUGUUGUAUAUAUUCCUCCUCUAUAAAAAAUCUCCAGAAAUUAGUGUUCUAAAGUUUUCCAUUCUUUAAAAAUACUGAAAUAAGUCUUAUUUUGUCAUAAGGUCUUAUAAAGAAUUUGGGGAUAUUUAUUAUUAUCAUUAUUUAAAUGUUUAUAGGGAUAACAAACAAAUCAUGGGGUAUAUAAUUUCUCAAUAUUAUCUGAAGAUUAAUGUUUGAGUUUUAAAAUUAUAAAAUCUAUGCAACCUGAAUUUAUCAUCUUAGCAAAAGUUAAUAGCAUCCUUAAACUCUCUGUAAUCAAUAUGACUUUAGAAAUGCAAAAUCUAUGAUAAAUUUUAUCUCCUCUUAAUUUUUUUCUAAGUUUUUUAAAAGAAAGUUUUUUUUAUAUAACAGAAGCCCAUUACAUCAAUCAGAACAAGAUUUUCCAUGUUCAUGGCUAUGUCAGCCUGUGUAUUGGCUAAAAACAUAUUUCAGUGUUUCUAGGAUUUCUGAUUUCAUUGGAUAAAUACUCCCUUCAUUGACAAAAAUCUUACUCUUACAAGAAUACUUUAUUGAUCCCGUAAUGUUAGUGCCUUCUCUCCACUGAUUAUCUCUAAUUUAUCUUAUAUAUAUUGUUAUAAAUAAUUGUUUUCACAUUGUCUCCUCCAAUAAACUCUAAAUUACUUGAAAGCAAGAUCUGUUUUUUUGCCUUUGGCUGAGGGAUUGGGAGAUGUGAGGGAAGGUUAGGUGGGGGAGAGGGGUAGUAUAUUUGCAUAGUAUAUGAAUUCAAAUCUGGCCUCCAACAUUUACACUCAAAUACUCCCUAGUUGUGUGACCCUUUGUGAAGAUUGAGUUAGCACCCUGGAUGCCCCAGAAUCAGCCAGAGUCAGAAUAAGCAAAAAUCCUUGGUCUUUAUUCUUGGUCUUUAGGAGUAGAAGUGAACAGAAUGAACACAGGAUCUCCACAAUCUCCUUCUUCCUUGUCUACCACCAGAGUGACUCUGGCUUGUCUUACUCCACUCCCUAAUCCUUCCCACAAUUCUCUGUAUACACCAAAAGAUUGAACCAGCACAGAAUAGUGGGAAGGGCCAUUUUCCAAGAAUAUGCUAAUAGAAUAUUGUCCAACCAGUAAUUAGCCUUACGGGCUCUGUUGUCCAACCCCAGUGCAUCAACUCAGAGUUUCAACCCUUUACAACUCCCGCUUUCUUUUGUUUUAGAACACAGGUGGUCACACCCUCCCUGACUUCUCAGGAAGGGAGAUGAAAAGCACCAAAUACAAGUGGAUAUUGCUAGUGGGUUUCUGGGCUGAAGACUCUUAUUAGAAACAGGUAUGCACAAACCCAUCAGCAUGGGAGGUAUUAGACACGCACAUAGCAAUAAUGCAGAGGCUAUUAGUGGUAACCCUUCCCUCAGUCAGUGCAGGCUUGAUGUGGUGCAACAAACAUGAAUUGUACAUGCAAGUAGUGAUAUAACAAACAAUAUAAAUCAACAUGGUGUUGUAAAAGAUUUCCAGAAGUCCUAGAAGAAGGGUAUGUAAACAACAGUCAUACAUACACCUUCUUCAGCAGCCAAGAGAUAGUCCAAAACCAAUCUAUUGUCCAUUGCUUCACCUGUCAGUCAAUGAUCCCUGCAAGUUUUUGAAGUCCUGCAACAGUCUUUUUACGUGUUAGGGAAUCCAAUGAUUCCAGCAGAUUUGAAGUCCUGUAACAGUCUUAUCAUUUCACAGAAAAUCCAUUGAUUCCUGAGGAUUUUCAAGUCCUACAACAAUCCUAUCAUGUCUCAGAGAAUCCAAUGAUUCCUGACGGUUUUCAAGUCCUAUAACAAUCUUAUCAUAUCUCAGAAAAUCCAAUGAUUCCUGAGGGUUUUCAAGUCCUACAACAGUCUUAUCAUGUCUCAGAGAAUCCAGUGAUUCCUGAGGGUUUUCAAGUCCUACAACAGUCUUAUCAUGUCUCAGAGAAUCCAGUGAUUCCUGAGGGUUUUCAAGUCCUACAACAAUCUUAUCAUGUCUCAGAAAAUCCAAUGAUUCCUGAGCAUUUUGAAGUCCUACAACGAUCUUAUCAUGUCUCAGAGAAUCCAAUGAUUCCUGAGGAUUUUGAAGUCUGUGAUGUCCAUGAGUCAAUCGCCAUAACUGCCAUGCUCAUUGAGUGGUGGGCACAGUCAGCAAUGGAACCACCCGAUGUUUUUUGGGUCUUCUCCUUCGUUUCAAGGAUCUGCUCCGUCUCUCUGAUGGACAAGGAGAAGAUUUAAGAAGCAUCUGACACUGAAAGAGCAUGGCUGACAAUGAGACUGUCAAAAGAACUUGAAAAUCUU